rnacentral:lncRNA from 1 species
GAAAGUUGGGCAUUUCUAUGGCCCUGUUCCCUCCUCUAUGCGCCAGGAGCUUUGUCUGAUGUCACAGUGACUCCAGACUCUUACUCUUGUCAUCAUCGUGCCAAGGUGGGUAUUGAAGAAAGGAGUGGAGGGAGAGAAGAGAGAGCAGGGCCCCUGUGUGGGCUCCGGACCCUGACACUGCUCCUGUUUUCAGCUGGCCCUCUGCGGCAGGGAGAGGAGUCAGCCACUGCACCCCCCCCCCCAGGACCUAAGAACUCAACCUUGACCUUGACAAAGGGAUUUCACAAAACCCAAGGUGGCCUGUCAAAGCUCAAGGGCUCUGCGCCCCGCGCUCUGAGCAGGAGCCUCAUUGCUGGAGGGUGGGGAAGAUGGGUGUCCCCUCCCGCUCUCCAGGCUCAGUGGAAACCCGUUUUCUGCCAUGAGGCACGAGGCUGGUUCGGCUGGCUUCCCACAAAUCUGGUCCUGAAGGAAGCACAGGGCCCCGCUGAAAACACAUUCAUCCUCUUCUCCCAUUUGAUCUUCCCUCCACAUGCCUUUUGGAUUAAUGCUGGCAUUUUGUUUCCAUCUGUUUUCAAGUCUUGGCUGGAAACACACGAGUCCAGCUCUCGCCCGCUGCAGGGCCAGGGGCUCCUCCGCGGGGCGCUGCCCUGGAGCAGGGGGCGGCUGGCAGCAGAUCCGGGGAGGACCAACUGCCAUCUCUUAUUCCAAAUCAACAGACGUGGAAUGAGCGCCUGCCAGUGCCAGGCAUCGUGCGGGUGCCAGAUGCCAAGUCACGCCACGGCUCAAAACGCAGCAGCAGCUCCCAUUUCCCUGGGAGUAACAGCCCACGUCCUGCCAGUGACCCAACAGCCCUCCCACGCUCCCUCACUCACCUCCCUGACCGCACAUCCCCCAAAGCCUGCCCAGGCUUCCACGCCUUUGACGCUGGCUCUCUGCGCCCCUCCGCUCUGCCCAGAAUGCCCACUCCCCAGAGGGGCCACGCAAGCCUUUGCUAAAAUUUCCUGCAAGGCUUUGACAGCCGGUGCAGUGGAAAACCACAGCCCCUGCCCAGCACGCGCGGUGCCCGGUCCACCUGUGCUCAGCAGCCUGCUCGCCCACCUCGCUUACCUUUCACUGCCUUGGCCCCAUUCCCUGGAAGGUGGAGCUGGAAGGAGAGGAGGGAGGUGGGGAGGGAGGAAGAGCAAACAUGAAGGAGUUUUCCCAGUUUGCUGCAGCUUUACAGCAAGUCCGCGGGGCAGGCAGUCCUCCAGGGCGUGUUCAGGGAAGACUCGUGAGGCUGAUACAUCUCCCACAGGAUGGAUACCAGAGGAAGAGGAAGUAAAAACCUCUCAGCUUCUGUCUCUCAUCAGCCUUACUGGUCCUCCUACUUCCAGGUGA